rnacentral:rRNA from 1 species
AGCCAUCAUUUAAAGAAAGCGUAAUAGCUCACUAGUCGAGUCGGCCUGCGCGGAAGAUGUAACGGGGCUGAAAUAUAGCACCGAAGCUGCGGCAUCAGACGAAAGUCUGUUGGGUAGGGGAGCGUUGUGUAAGCGGAUGAAGGUUAAUCGAGAGGUUGGCUGGACGUAUCACAAGUGCGAAUGCUGACAUAAGUAACGAUAAAACGGGUGAAAAACCCGUUCGCCGGAAGACCAAGGGUUCCUGUCCAACGUUAAUCGGGGCAGGGUGAGUCGGCUCCUAAGGCGAGGCUGAAAAGCGUAGUCGAUGGGAAACAGGUUAAUAUUCCUGUACUUGGUAAAGCUGCGAUGUGGGGACGGAGUAGGUUAGGUUAUCGCACUGUUGGAUAUGUGCGUUUAAGUUGGUAGGUGGGAAGUUUAGGCAAAUCCGGACUUCUAUUAAACACUGAGAGAUGAUGACGAGGCUCUACGGAGCUGAAGUAACUGAUACCACACUUCCAGGAAAAGCCACUAAGCGACAGGCUUUACUAAACCGUACUGAAAACCGACACAGGUGGUCAGGUAGAGAAUACUCAGGCGCUUGAGAGAACUCGGGUGAAGGAACUAGGCAAAAUAGCACCGUAACUUCGGGAGAAGGUGCGCCGGCGUAGAUUGUAGAGAUUUACUCUCGAAGGUUGAACCGGUCGAAGAUACCAGCUGGCUGCAACUGUUUAUUAAAAACACAGCACUCUGCAAACACGAAAGUGGAGGUAUAGGGUGUGAUGCCUGCCCGGUGCUGGAAGGUUAAUUGAUGGUGUCAUCGCAAGAGAAGCACCUGAUCGAAGCCCCAGUAAACGGCGGCCGUAACUAUAACGGUCCUAAGGUAGCGAAAUUCCUUGUCGGGUAAGUUCCGACCUGCACGAAUGGCAUAAUGAUGGCCAGGCUGUCUCCACCCGAGACUCAGUGAAAUUGAAAUCGCCGUGAAGAUGCGGUGUACCCGCGGCUAGACGGAAAGACCCCGUGAACCUUUACUAUAGCUUGACACUGAACAUUGAAUUUUGAUGUGUAGGAUAGGUGGGAGACUAAGAAGUAGUCACGCCAGUGAUUAUGGAGUCAUCCUUGAAAUACCACCCUUUAACGUUUGAUGUUCUAACGAAGAUUGCGGAACGCGGUCUCGGACAGUGUCUGGUGGGUAGUUUGACUGGGGCGGUCUCCUCCCAAAGCGUAACGGAGGAGCACGAAGGUUUGCUAAUCACGGUCGGACAUCG